GACGAACGCUGGCGGCGUGCCUAAUACAUGCCAGUCGAACGCUUCUUUCCUCCCGAGUGCUUGCACUCAAUUGGAAAGAGGAGUGGCGGACGGGUGAGUAACACGUGGGUAACCUACCCAUCAGAGGGGGAUAACACUUGGAAACAGGUGCUAAUACCGCAUAACAGUUUAUGCCGCAUGGCAUAAGAGUGAAAGGCGCUUUCGGGUGUCGCUGAUGGAUGGACCCGCGGUGCAUUAGCUAGUUGGUGAGGUAACGGCUCACCAAGGCCACGAUGCAUAGCCGACCCGAGAGGGUGAUCGGCCACACUGGGACUGAGACACGGCCCAGACUCCUACGGGAGGCAGCAGUAGGGAAUCUUCGGCAAUGGACGAAAGUCUGACCGAGCAACGCCGCGUGAGUGAAGAAGGUUUUCGGAUCGUAAAACUCUGUUGUUAGAGAAGAACAAGGACGUUAGUAACUGAACGUCCCCUGACGGUAUCUAACCAGAAAGCCACGGCUAACUACGUG
rnacentral:rRNA from 1 species